GAUGAAGAACGCAGCGAAAUGCGAUAAGUAAUGUGAAUUGCAGAAUUCAGUGAAUCAUCGAAUCUUUGAACGCACAUUGCGCCCACUAGUAUUCUGGUGGGCAUGCCUGUUCGAGCGUCAUUAUAACCCCUCAAGCUCAGCUUGGUGUUGGGGCCUGCUGCACUGGCAGCCCUUAAAAUCAGUGGCGGCGCCAUCUGGCUCUAAGCGUAGUAAUUCUUCUCGCUAUGGAGUCCUGGUGGAUGCUUGCCAUCAACCCCCAAUUUUUCUAUGGUUGACCUCGGAUCAGGUAGGGAUACCCGCUGAACUUAAGCAUAUCAAUAAGCGGAGGA
rnacentral:misc_RNA from 1 species